rnacentral:rRNA from 1 species
GUAUCCUGCUCAGGAUGAACGCUAGCUACAGGCUUAACACAUGCAAGUCGAGGGGCAUCAGGGUGUAGCAAUACACCGCUGGCGACCGGCGCACGGGUGAGUAACACGUAUCCAACCUGCCCUUUACUCGGGGAUAGCCUUUCGAAAGAAAGAUUAAUACCCGAUGGCAUAACAUGGCCUCCUGGUUUUGUUAUUAAAGAAUUUCGGUAGAGGAUGGGGAUGCGUUCCAUUAGGCAGUUGGCGGGGUAACGGCCC